UGGACAGCUGAGGAUCUGGAGCUCCAGCCAGGCUGCGCGCUACUUCUGGCCGGAGGAAGGGUGCCUUUGCGCGGGCUGGAGCGCCUCGCCGCUCGCUUUUGGAGCGAUUGCGUUUGCUCGGCACUUUCCCCCUUCUCUCCCUCGGGAAGCGGCUUCUCUGUAGUCUGUGCCGCUGCAGGGCAGGGGAGAGCCAGAGAAGCCUCGGGCUUGGAAUAAUCCUUUGGGGAGGCUCGGAGCCCUCCUCGCGGGCUGCAUCUUCGGAUCUGUUGGUGCGUCCGCUCCUCUCCAGACAGCGUUUCUUCUUUUUAAUCCACCCGUCCUCCCUUCGGAUCCUGGGAUACAUAUGAGAGGACUGGCGUUUCCCCUCCGGUCAUUGGGUCGGAGGGGAACCCAGCAAGGAGUUCCCCCCCUUCCCCGACCAGUGGGCUCCCCCAGCUCUAGGAGGAGGAGCAGCAGGACGGGAACUUCGGGCUGGAUCAGCCAGGUGGGAGCCACGCAGACUGCUGCAAACUUUUUUUAAAAAAAUCCACGCCUGCACCCAGAAGCUUUCCAGUCCAGCAUGCUCGAAAAGGAAGCACCGGCCUCUUUCCGCUGAGACGCCUCCCCUAAGGCCACACAGGUUGUGAGGGGAAGGAUCCCGCCCUGCACCCGGAGGAGUGAUGCUCAUCCGAGAAGUCCUGCUGUUCCUCCACUGCUUCUGGCCUUCUUUGCUGCUGCACUGGACCCUCCAUCCCAUCUGGGGCUUCAUUCAGAUCACUCAGGGUGAACCUCAAAAGUCAUGCUUCAAGCCUGUAGCAGAGAAAGUUACAGACAGCUGCCAGCAGAUCUGCCAGUGUAGACCACCUCCAUUACCGCCCCCACCACCUCCUCCUCCACCGCCAAGGUUGCUUGGGACCCCAUUGCCUCCCACGGCUCCCACUUGUCCCACUGCAGACACCUGGUGGCCAAGCCCAAUUCUCAUUAUUGCAGCAUGCUGCACCACACCAGUGUUCCUCUUUCUAGUUUUCAUCAUUUGCUACAAAGCCAUAAAAAGGAGUCAUGAAAAUUCGUGCAUUUGAGAGAUGGUUGUUAUGGAUAUCGAAGCACCAUUUCUUCCCUGUCCUUGGAACCAUGUAGAAACAUUUCAUUUGUACAGAGAUGAACUCUCAUUUCAUUUUAAGCCAUUUUGUAAGAAAAGUUUAAUGAUUUACUACAUAGCAAAAUACUGUAUGUAGUAAUUUUUGUAGGAAGUGGAUGAAGUGCAUUUUAAAGAACUACCUACCCUAUAUCUCCAGACAUGGAACCAACAAAGCUACCCACCUGAAUCUAUCUGGAGAUCAGUUGUAAUUCUGGGAGAUCUCCAGCUACUACAUGGAGGUUGGCAAGCCUAUUAACCAGCCUCCUGCAGCAUCCCUAUUUGCAGAAGUGGGCUGAUUUGGGCUCUGCGCACUUGGCAACUUCAGGGCCCAGCUGGGUUUCCUCACACUGGCUCUACCUUUAUUGUUUAGGUGUAUCGUCGUUUGGUAUGUUAUUUUUAAUUUCUCACUGUGGGGUCCCUUGGGAGUAAACUAGGCUAGGAAUGUCUUAAACAAAACAAACAAGCAAAUGAAUGCUUUUACCUUGAUUUGGAGCCCUGUGUGGUGAGAGGAUCUAACUUACCACAUUUCCAUCUCUUCUGUUUUGCUUCAAAGUGGGGAAAUGAGCUCCAAAGGAAGGACAGAAGUGCUGCAGCCUCUUCCUAUCUCAGGACCAAGCUACACUUUCCCCACAUCCAUACAGCCCUUGCGGGAAACUGCUUUUUAAAGCACCACAGGGGCUCGAUUCUGCAAGGGACUACAGCAUGGGAAGAAGAGGGGCUUCUACCUCUUCCCUCUCCAUUUUCCCUAGCCCAAAUGGCCCCGGAGGGCAUAUUGCAUGAGUGUUCCCAUACAGAAUGAGGCCCCGGCAAUAAUUUAAAAAACAGUUCGCCACAGGUGCUGUGCAGCUGUGGUGAAAGCGAGGUGGUUCUGAGGAACCUGACUGGUUAAAAAUGUUUCGUUUGUCUCAGGUACGUGGCUGCAGGCAUUUUCUUAAUGUUGCUUAACAACAGUAGUGUAUAGUCAGAGAGGAGUUAGAGAAUCAGUGUUCAGUUUGCUGGCUCUCAGUCCAUCAGUUCUCUUGGAAAGCCAUGAAGAACCUGCUCUGAGUCCCCUUUAUAUUUAUUUAUUUUUUUAAUCUUUACCCCAGUAGAGAAUUCUUGUUAUCCUCUUUAAACUACAGUUUCUAUAGGGAAAGCCAUAACAAUUAAGCCGGCAUGAAACUGAUACAUGGUUUUGCACUGUAGAUAUAUACCGUUUGUUCCUGACAUUCACGUUUGUCCUUUUAGUAUAGCUUUCACUGUUGAAAACUCUAUGAAUAUGAACCAAGGAUUCAGCAGGAAAAAUUAUAACAAGUUACAAAUAUUUUGGAGGCUUGUCAUACACCUAGCCCAGAAAGCCUUAUCCUUUAAGUGGUGCUUUGAGGUACAAAUGAGAUCAGACAUCAGGGGAUCUUCCCUUUGAUGCAGGAGUAGGAAAUAAAUGUUUAAUAAAAAAUCAGAUCCAUAAAUAUGCAGGUUUUUUCUUGCUUAGUAGGUUUCAUGAGGCAAUCCAAGCUGAGGCUGUGGCAUAGGGUGGUGAUUUAACCCUUCCUCCUGCGCUAUUUUCCCAAUCUGGAUUUGUUCCCAGAGGAGAUGCAAAUAUUCAG